rnacentral:rRNA from 1 species
UACAGAGGGUGCAAGCGUUAAUCGGAGUUACUGGGCGUAAAGGGCGCGUAGGCGGAUGAUUAAGUGGGAUGUGAAAGCCCCGGGCUUAACCUGGGAAGUGCAUACCAAACUGGUGAUCUGGAAUAUAGGAGAGGGUGGCGGAAUUUCCGGUGUAGCGGUGAAAUGCGUAGAGAUCGGAAGGAACGCCAGUGGCGAAGGCGGCCACCUGGCCUAAUAUUGACGCUGAGGCGCGAAAGCGUGGGGAGCGAACAGG